rnacentral:rRNA from 1 species
CGCAUAUCAAUAAGCGGAGGAAAAGAAACCAACAGGGAUUGCCCUAGUAACGGCGAGUGAAGCGGCAACAGCUCAAAUUUGAAAUCUGGCCCCCGGGUCCGAGUUGUAAUUUGUAGAGGAUGCUUUUGGUGCGGUACCUUCCGAGUUCCCUGGAACGGGACGCCAUAGAGGGUGAGAGCCCCGUCUGGUUGGACGCCAAUCCUUUGUAAAGCUCCUUCAACGAGUCGAGUAGUUUGGGAAUGCUGCUCUAAAUGGGAGGUAUAUGUCUUCUAAAGCUAAAUAUUGGCCAGAGACCGAUAGCGCACAAGUAGAGUGAUCGAAAGAUGAAAAGCACUUUGAAAAGAGAGUUAAAAAGUACGUGAAAUUGUUGAAAGGGAAGCGCUCAUGACCAGACUUGGGCUUGGUUGAUCAUCCAGGGUUCUCCCUGGUGCACUCUUCCGGCCCAGGCCAGCAUCAGUUCGCUGUGGGGGAUAAAGGCUUCGGGAAUGUGGCUCCCUCGGGAGUGUUAUAGCCCGUUGUGUAAUACCCUGUGGUGGACUGAGGUUCGCGCAUUCGCAAGGAUGCUGGCGUAAUGGUCAUCAGCGACCCGUCUUGAAACACGGACCAAGGAGUCGUCUUCGUAUGCGAGUGUUCGGGUGUCAAACCCCUACGCGUAAUGAAAGUGAACGCAGGUGAGAGCUUCGGCGCAUCAUCGACCGAUCCUGAUGUUCUCGGAUGGAUUUGAGUAAGAGCAUACGGGGCCGGACCCGAAAGAAGGUGAACUAUGCCUGUAUAGGGUGAAGCCAGAGGAAACUCUGGUGGAGGCUCGCAGCGGUUCUGACGUGCAAAUCGAUCGUCAAAUAUGGGCAUGGGGGGCGAAAGACUAAUCGAACCUUCUAGUAGCUGGUUUCCGCG